UACGAAGGGGGCUAGCGUUGCUCGGAAUCACUGGGCGUAAAGGGUGCGUAGGCGGGUCUUUAAGUCAGGGGUGAAAUCCUGGAGCUCAACUCCAGAACUGCCUUUGAUACUGAGGAUCUUGAGUUCGGGAGAGGUGAGUGGAACUGCGAGUGUAGAGGUGAAAUUCGUAGAUAUUCGCAAGAACACCAGUGGCGAAGGCGGCCAACUGGACGAACACUGACGCUGAGACACGAAAGCGUGGGGAGCAAACAGGG
rnacentral:rRNA from 1 species